rnacentral:ncRNA from 1 species
AAAAGUUAAAGGAAAUCAUUAAAGAACAAUUAGAUUUGGGACAUCUUAGACUGUCCCUAAGCCCAUGGAAUAGUCCAGUGUUUGUUAUACAAAAGACAUCGGGUAAGUGGAGAAUGUUACAGGACUUAAGAUUAAUGAGCGGAUGGUCCCUGUGGGUACUCCCUUACGGGGAUUGCCCUGGAUCCCCUCUAUCCCUGGGAACCAUAUGCUUAUUGUAAUUGAUAUUAAGGAUUGUUUCUUUUCUAUUCCCCUUGAUCCCCAGGAUUGUGAGAAGUUUGCCUUCUC